UUGAUAGUCCCUCGAUCCCCGUGCAGGGGCCCACCACUCAGAAGAGCGACACCCACGGAGGGCGAGUCUAGGGCCCAGCGGCGGGGGGCAGGGGCGGCAGCCCCAGCGUCCCCCGCCGAGGCAACAGGCCGGUAAGUUCACGAUGGUCUCGCACAGAGGCUCUGUAAUGAUCCCUCCGCUGGUUCACCAACGGAGA
rnacentral:misc_RNA from 1 species